UACGUAGGGGGCAAGCGUUGUCCGGAUUCAUUGGGCGUAAAGAGCGUGUAGGCGGCCAGGUAGGUCGGUUGUGAAAACUGGAGGCUCAACCUUCAGAGGUCGACCGAAACCAUCUGGCUAGAGUCCGGGAGAGGAGAGUGGAAUUCCUGGUGUAGCGGUGAAAUGCGCAGAUAUCAGGAGGAACACCGGUGGCGAAGGCGGAUCUCUGGGCCUGUUCUGACGCUGAGGCGCGAAAGCUAGGGGAGCAAACGGG
rnacentral:rRNA from 1 species